rnacentral:rRNA from 1 species
AGACGUCUACAUUAGAUACCCGCGUAGUCCCAGCCGUAAACUAUGCGCGUUAGGUGUAUCGGUGACCACGAGUCACCGAGGUGCCGAAGGGAAACCGUGAAACGUGCCGCCUGGGAAGUACGGUCGCAAGGCUGAAACUUAAAGGAAUUGGCGGGGAGCACCACAACAGGUGGAGCCUGCGGUUUAAUUGGACUCAACGCCGGGAAGCUCACCGGAUAGGACAGCAGAAUGAUUGCCGGGCUGAAGACCCUGCAUGACUAGCUG